GUGGGGAAUCUUGCGCAAUGGGCGAAAGCCUGACGCAGCCAUGCCGCGUGAAUGAUGAAGGUCUUAGGAUUGUAAAAUUCUUUCACCGGGGACGAUAAUGACGGUACCCGGAGAAGAAGCCCCGGCUAACUUCGUGCCAGCAGCCGCGGUAAUACGAAGGGGGCUAGCGUUGCUCGGAAUUACUGGGCGUAAAGGGCGCGUAGGCGGACAGUUUAGUCAGAGGUGAAAGCCCAGGGCUCAACCUUGGAAUUGCCUUUGAUACUGGCUGUCUUGAGUACGGGAGAGGUGAGUGGAACUCCGAGUGUAGAGGUGAAAGUCGUAGAUAUUCGGAAGAACACCAGUGGCGAAGGCGACUCACUGGCCCAAUACUGACGCUGAGGCGCGAAAGCGUGGGGAGCAAACAGGAUUAGAUACCCCUGUAGUCC
rnacentral:rRNA from 1 species